GUGGUGUGAUCUACUAUAGAUGCAUAUUCGGGUAGUCAGUUCAGUUUGGUUCGAGCAUGUUGUUGUAUAACAUAGGAAGCAGUCAUUAUCUGCAAGAUCAAGAUCUUCAGACAUUUGGUAAAGCUAGGUCUGCAUUUAAUGCCCCUGGUGUAACCCAUCUUACAUUGCUAAAUUGUGAAAUAUGCAGAGAAUUCUGCUGUUGGCGUGUUUGCUGCCUUUUUUUUUUGAUAAAGUACAGAGCCGAAACAACCGAACGUCGUUUGUUAAGAAAAAAUUGAACUUUGAAGCAAACUGCAUCAAAUACUAUAGCCAGCACACUGGGAGAUUUCUGGAACCGGAUUGGCAUCCCUGCUAUGAACUGGGACCCACAAACUUCCUCUGUACAUCACAUGGACCUCAUGCAUGUGUUGAUGAGAAGGUGUUUGAAAUAUACAGGAAUGUUGAUGUACGCAAAGCCUAUGUUCGCUCUAAUAAAUUUGAACCUAGUUGGAAAUUUAAUCUGAUCUACCUAUCAAUAUAUUUUUGGGUGCUAGUUAUCUAUACUAUUUUCUUGUGGAUAGAGGUGUAUAGACUACGUAGGAUAUUAUAUAGAGAAUAUUAAAACUCUUUUACUAAAGUAAGAACUUGUAACGAAUGAAUUCGCCAAUUCCACCAGAAAAUUGAAUGUGUCGACUGCAACCAAUCUAUUUAUCGAUUGUUUGUUAUCAUCUGUAGCAUGUUCAGGCAUUGUACAUCUCAGAGCUUUUUGUCUGAUUUUAAGAAUUAAUCAAGCUUCACAGAAUCACUUGUAUUCAGCCAAAAAUACAACAAAUUAUAAUAUUUUAUCCAGAUUCAAAUAUAAGCUAAUGUUUAUAAAUACAUAAAUGAUUG